UGGCUGAUAUACCAAGUUGAUAUACCAGA
rnacentral:piRNA from 1 species